GACGAACGCUGGCGGCGUGCUUAACACAUGCAAGUCGAACGGAAAGGCCCUGCUUGCAGGGUACUCGAGUGGCGAACGGGUGAGUAACACGUGGGUUAUCUGCCCUGCACUUCGGGAUAAGCCUGGGAAACUGGGUCUAAUACCGGAUAGGAGCCAUUUUUAGUGUGAUGGUUGGAAAGUUUUUUCGGUGUAGGAUGAGCUCGCGGCCUAUCAGCUUGUUGGUGGGGUAAUGGCCUACCAAGGCGGCGACGGGUAGCCGGCCUGAGAGGGUGGACAGCCACAUUGGGACUGAGAUACGGCCCAGACUCCUACGGGAGGCAGCAGUGGGGAAUAUUGCACAAUGGGCGCAAGCCUGAUGCAGCGACGCCGCGUGGGGGAUGACGGCCUUCGGGUUAUAAACUCCUUUCGCUAGGGACGAAGCUUUUUGUGACGGUACCUAGAUAAGAAGCACCGGCUAACUACGUG
rnacentral:rRNA from 1 species